rnacentral:rRNA from 1 species
GGGUGCGAUCAUACCAGCAAUAAUGCACCGGAUCCCAUCAGAACUCCGAAGUUAAGCUUGCUUGGGCGAGAGCAGUACGGAUGGGUGACCUCUGGGUCCUCGUGUUGCACCCC